rnacentral:rRNA from 1 species
UACAGAGGUGGCAAGCGUUGUUCGGAUUUAUUGGGCGUAAAGGGUUCGUAGGCGGACCGGAAAGUCAGAUGUGAAAUCCCGCAGCUCAACUGUGGAACUGCAUUUGAAACUUCCGGACUAGAGUGUGAGAGGGGUAAAGGGAAUUCCCGGUGUAAGGGUGAAAUCUGCAGAGAUCGGGAGGAACACCAGUCGCGAAGGCGCUUUACUGGCUCACUACUGACGCUCAGGAACGAAAGCUAGGGUAGCAAACAGG